rnacentral:rRNA from 1 species
GACGAACGCUGGCGGCGUGCCUAAUACAUGCAAGUCGAGCGAAGUUUUUCUGGUGCUUGCACUAGAAAAACUUAGCGGCGAACGGGUGAGUAACACGUAAAGAACCUGCCUCAUAGACUGGGACAACUAUUGGAAACGAUAGCUAAUACCGGAUAACAGCAUUAACUGCAUGGUUGAUGUUUAAAAGUUGGUUUUGCUAACACUAUGAGAUGGCUUUGCGGUGCAUUAGCUAGUUGGUGGGGUAAAGGCCUACCAAGGCGACGAUGCAUAGCCGACCUGAGAGGGUGAUCGGCCACACUGGGACUGAGACACGGCCCAGACUCCUACGGGAGGCAGCAGUAGGGAAUCUUCCGCAAUGGGCGAAAGCCUGACGGAGCAACGCCGCGUGAGUGAAGAAGGAUUUCGGUUCGUAAAGCUCUGUUGUUAGGGAAGAAUGAUUGUGUAGUAACUAUACACAGUAGAGACGGU